GGUACGUUGAGUGGCGAACGGGUGAGUAACACGUGAGUAACCUACCCUUGACUUUGGGAUAACUUCAGGAAACUGGGGCUAAUACCGGAUAGGAGCUCCUGCUGCAUGGUGGGGUUGGAAAGUUUCGGCGGUUGGGGAUGGACUCGCGGCUUAUCAGCUUGUUGGUGGGGUAGUGGCUCACCAAGGCUUUGACGGGUAGCCGGCCUGAGAGGGCGACCGGCCACAUUGGGACUGAGAUACGGCCCAG
rnacentral:rRNA from 1 species